AUCGAACGCUGGCGGCAGGCCUAACACAUGCAAGUCGAACGAGUGGCGGACUGGUGAGUAAUGUCUGGGCAACUGCCUGAUGGAGGGGGCUAACUACUGGAAACGGUAGCUAAUACCGCAUACCAUCGGAUGUGCCCAGAGGGGAUUAGCGAGCAGGUGGGGUAACGGCUCACCUAGGCGACGAUCCCGAGCUGGUCUGAGAGGCUGACCGGCCACACGGGAACUGAGACACGGUCCAGCCUCCUACGGGAGGCAGCAGUGGGGAAUAUUGCACAAUGGGCGAAAGCCUGAUGCAGCAAUGCCGCGUGUAUGAAGAAGGCCUUCGGGUUGUAAAGUACUUUCAGCGGGGAGGCGUUACCCACAGAAGAAGCACCGGCUAACUCCGUGCCAGCAGCCGCGGUAAUUC
rnacentral:rRNA from 1 species